UACGAGGGGUCCUAGCGUUGUUCGGAAUCAUUGGGCGUAAAGAGCUCGUAGGUGGCUUAGUAAGUCAGGUGUGAAAGCCCAGGGCUCAACCCUGGAAGUGCACUUGAAACUGCAUAGCUUGAGUACGGUAGAGGUGAGUGGAAUUCCUGGUGUAGUGGUGAAAUACGUAGAUAUCAGGAGGAACAUCGGUGGCGAAGGCGGCUCACUGGACCAGUACUGACACUGAGGAGCGAAAGCAUGGGGAUCAAAC
rnacentral:rRNA from 1 species